AGCAGUCGCCGCGGGAAUACGAAGGGUGCAAGCGUUAAUCGGAAUUACUGGGCGUAAAGCGCACGCAGGCGGUCUGACAAGUCAGAUGUGAAAUCCCCGGGCUUAACCUGGGAACUGCAUUUGAAACUGUCAGGCUGGAGUCUUGUAGAGGGGGGUGGAAUUCCAGGUGUAGCGGUGAAAUGCGUAGAGAUCUGGAGGAAUACCGGUGGCGAAGGCGGCCCCCUGGACAAAGACUGACGCUCAGGUGCGAAAGCGUGGGGAGCAAACAGGAUUAGAUACCCCUGUAGUCCCUGUCUCUUAUAC
rnacentral:rRNA from 1 species